rnacentral:rRNA from 1 species
ACGAACGCUGGCGGCGCGCCUAACACAUGCAAGUCGAACGGAGCUUAGAGAGCUUGCUUUUUAAGCUUAGUGGCGAACGGGUGAGUAACGCGUGAGUAACCUGCCCUAGAGUGGGGGACAACAGUUGGAAACGACUGCUAAUACCGCAUAAGCCCACGGUGCCGCAUGGUACUGAGGGAAAAGGAUUUAUUCGCUUUAGGAUGGACUCGCGUCCAAUUAGCUAGUUGGUGAGGUAACGGCCCACCAAGGCGACGAUUGGUAGCCGGACUGAGAGGUUGAACGGCCACAUUGGGACUGAGACACGGCCCAGACUCCUACGGGAGGCAGCAGUGGGGGAUAUUGCACAAUGGGGGAAACCCUGAUGCAGCGACGCCGCGUGGAGGAAGAAGGUUUUCGGAUUGUAAACUCCUGUCGUUAGGGACGAUAAUGACGGUACCUAACAAGAAAGCACCGGCUAACUACGUGCCAGCAGCCGCGGUAAAACGUAGGGUGCAAGCGUUGUCCGGAAUUACUGGGUGUAAAGGGAGCGCAGGCGGGAAGACAAGUUGGAAGUGAAAACCAUGGGCUCAACCCAUGAAUUGCUUUCAAAACUGUUUUUCUUGAGUAGUGCAGAGGUAGAUGGAAUUCCCGGUGUAGCGGUGGAAUGCGUAGAUAUCGGGAGGAACACCAGUGGCGAAGGCGGUCUACUGGGCACCAACUGACGCUGAGGCUCGAAAGCAUGGGUAGCAAACAGGAUUAGAUACCCUGGUAGUCCAUGCCGUAAACGAUGAUUACUAGGUGUUGGGGGAUUGACCCCCUCAGUGCCGCAGUUAACACAAUAAGUAAUCCACCUGGGGAGUACGACCGCAAGGUUGAAACUCAAAGGAAUUGACGGGGGCCCGCACAAGCAGUGGAGUAUGUGGUUUAAUUCGAAGCAACGCGAAGAACCUUACCAGGUCUUGACAUCCGAUGCAUAACACAGAGAUGUGUGAAAUCCUUCGGGACAUCGAGACAGGUGGUGCAUGGUUGUCGUCAGCUCGUGUCGUGAGAUGUUGGGUUAAGUCCCGCAACGAGCGCAACCCUUAUUGCCAGUUACUACGUUAAGAGGACUCUGGCGAGACUGCCGUUGACAAAACGGAGGAAGGUGGGGAUGACGUCAAAUCAUCAUGCCCCUUAUGUCCUGGGCUACACACGUAAUACAAUGGCGGUCAACAGAGGGAUGCAAAGCCGUAAGGUGGAGCGAACCCCUAAAAGCCGUCCCAGUUCAGAUUGUGGGCUGCAACCCGCCCACAUGAAGUCGGAAUCGCUAGUAAUCGCGGAUCAGCACGCCGCGGUGAAUACGUUCCCGGGCCUUGUACACACCGCCCGUCACACCACGAGAGUUUGUAACACCCGAAGUCGGUGAGGUAACCUUUUAGGAGCCAGCCGCCUAAGGUGGGAUAGAUGAUUGGGGUG